CCUGCUUCUCCAGGCUUCCCCUGCUUCUCACAGUGCAGAUACACACUGACACACAUGCAGACACACAGAUCGACACAAUGACAUACGUGCAGAUACAAAGAUAGAAACACUGACACAAAAAUAAACACUGAAGCAGAUGCCCAGAUACACUGAAACACAUACAGUUGUACGGACAGACAGAUCCAAACCAUUACACACUCACAAAGAUACACACACACUAACAAUGACACAUGUAGAUAUACAGGCACACA